CAAUCAGUAUUUUGUGUAUUUAAAAUGGAGAACUCUAUAAAUAUUUAUUGAGUUUACUUGUUCCAGGUCUGAGUUGAAGUCCUGGAUAUCCUUAUUAAUUUUCUGUCUCGUUGAGUCUAAAUCUCGUUAUGGGUCUUAUGUAUCUGGGUAUUAAGAUCUCUUAUUGUUGCAUUGAUCCUUUUACCACUGUAUCUUUGUUGCUUUGAAAUCUAUUUUAUCAAAUGUGAGAAUUGCAACUCCUGCUUUUUGUUUAUUUAUUUUUGCUCUCCAUUUGGUUGGUAAAGUUUUCUCCAACCCUUUGUUAUGAGUCUUUGUGUAUCUUUGGAUAUACCAUUAGGUUUUGGCUGUAUCUUUUGAUUGGGGGAUUUAGUCGAUUUAAAUUUAGGGUUACUGCCAUUUGAUGUUAACUGGCUAUUUUAUCUAUUUCGUCAAACCUUUUUUCAAAGUUCUUAGUUUCUUUACAUUGGGUUAGAACAAGUUCUUUUAAUUCCCAGAAGUUUCUUAUCAUCCACCUUCUGAAGCCUACUUCAGAUAAUGGAACACAGUCCUUUUCCAUCAGGGCUUGUUCUGUUGCUGAUGAGGAACUGCAAUCACCUGUAGAGGGAGAGGGGUUCUGAAUUUGGGUAUGCUCGGCCUUCUUAGGCUGGUUUUUUCCCUUUAUUAUAAAUUUAUCCAUCUGUCGUCUUUACAAUUACCGCCUUUCUAAUUAGGUUUCUGAGUCGACAUCCAAUUUAUUGAUUCCCAGUGCUGGGAUUCAAGCAACCCACUGCGCCGGCCAAAACAGCAGCGAUAAGACUGAUGGUGCUCUUCUGCCCGGGAAUCUCUGGUCUGGCUUCCUUCUUGAGUCCGCAACAAGCGCUCUGCCUUCCCGGAGCUCCAAACACAGACAGGUUCUUGCUCUGUCACCAAGAAGUGCAGUGGCAUGAUCAUAGCUCACUGUAACCGUGAACUCCUGGCCUCAAGCAAUCCUCCUGCCUCAGCCUCCCAAAGUGUUUAGAUUAUAGGCAUGGGUCAUUGUACCCGUCCUGUUCUUGAUUAUUAAACAAAGAAGUAAGCAAGCAAAUAAAGAAUAAAAGUUACUUCUGAAUAAGCA
rnacentral:lncRNA from 1 species